UAAAUGGUUUCCAGUAUUGAUAUAUUUUCUGUUAUUUUUGCACAUUUCUAGUGUAUUGCUGGAAACUUGGAAAAGGUGAGAGUUGCCCUCUGGAAAGUGCUGCCAUACUUUUUUGAAAAAAUACAACAUAGAAUCAACUGGGAGAAAGACCAAGUUUUCAGAGCACCCAUUGAGAAGAAGGCACAACAAGUCCCUAUCCAAUGCCACUUCAGUAUUUGAUUGGAAGGAUAUCUUAAACAGGCUUGGUGUUUUAUCAUCUCUAGUCUUAGACAUUUUGGAAGACUCAGAAAUAUGACGUAAAAGAAGUGUAACAUGUACACAUCUGAGCUGAAAAACUGCAAAUGAUGGUGAAAUUCUGGGCACACAGUCUUAAUUUGAGCCUCUUGGUAAAGAUUUGAUUUUUUCAUACUUGUCUCUUUGUUACAAACUGUGACACUAAUAAGGCUUAUUUCUCUCCACAAUUCUUAUAGACAUAUUUCUAGGCCAACUGAAAAAAUCUUGUGAGACUGGAGGAGUUAAUUAGAGUUGGCAAACUUUUCACUGAAGCAUUGAAAAUUAGUUACUUCAGCUCCUUCAUAUUUCAAAGUAGGAUCUAAUUUUAAUACAGAAUUAAGCUGAAGGAAAAUCUCCAGUGUCUUUUGAAAGGCUUCUCCACACUGUGGCUGCUGCCCACUCCAGUAGAUGGCAACUCACUUGUUGGAGGACUUGGUAGAGGUGCCCCUUGGAAUGAGUAGUGUGUGAAAGACUCUCUGCUCUCAGAAAUUUUACUCACUGUGGAGCCACAAAACUGAUAUGAUUUGUUUGGACAUGAUACUACUUUCUCUAGUUUCUUUUGCCUUUCACUGCCUGAUGCACUGACUUACAGUGCCUACUCAUUUGUUACAGCUGGGUGCUAGGACCUUCUCAGCCAGGGGCUUGGAAACCCUCAGAAUGACAGCUGUGAUUGAGCAUGAACACAAGUCCAGGUGCUGAGCACACAGUUUCGAGCAACCCAUUCCCUACUGCUCCCCUGUCCAGAAAAAAGUGGUCUUGCUACAGGAGAUGGGCAGUGUGAAACUGGUCAUAAAUCAUUGAAGAAACAGUGCAGAUCACACUGGACUGGCCAGAGAGCAUCAGGCCAGGAAGGGUAGAAGUGAGCAUGAAGUUAGCAAAAGUCUUUUGCAAAAACUGCGUCUCUAUCAUUGAUUUUAUAGAUUUCAUUUCACUGUACUAUGGGUAAAAGUUUUUGUGCUAAUGUCUGAGAUGGCAAAAAUUUACCUUUCUCCAUGUUACAUUUGAAUUUCAUUGCAUCUCUU
ensembl:lncRNA